UCUACGGAUAUCCAUGUAGAAACAACUUGGAUUGCUUCUCUUCUUUUCUUCACAUGCAAUUGAUCAGCCUUUGAAUCCUUUUGAUCAGCCUUUUCUUCUUCCUUAGAUCUUCCUUGAUGUAGAUUAGCCACCAACCAAAAAAAGGAAGAAAGAGCAGAUACCCAAACACCUUUGGGCAUAUGGAAACUUGGACGCCCAAGCUUUUGGGCGUUGGAGAAAGAGAGGGAGAGAGGGGAGGUGUGGAGACUCUCUUGGGCUAAUUGCUUGGAGUCUUGGUUGCUUCUAAAGGUCAAGGGGUGGUCCCCUUAUAUAGGCUUUUAAUUAGAAUCCUAACCAAACUCUAAAUCUUUAAUUAAAGAGGAUUCUUAAUCUCGUUAGGACUCCUUUUAAAGUCUUAAACCUUAUUAUUAGUCCUUAUCAAAUAACGAAAGGGGAGGAGGUGCCAACUAUUGG
rnacentral:lncRNA from 1 species